GAUGAACGCUGGCGGCGUGCUUAACACAUGCAAGUCGAACGGGAUCCAAGGGGUGCUUGCACUUUUUGGUGAGAGUGGCGCACGGGUGAGUAACACGUGAGUAACCUGUCCUUUUCUUUGGGAUAAGCAUUCGAAAGGGUGUUUAAUACCUUAUGUUCUGUCUGCCUCGCAUGGGGUGGGUGGGAAAGGCUUUGGCCGGAUUUGGGUGGGCUCGCGGUCUAUCAGCUUGUUGGUGGGGUGAUGGCUUACCAAGGCUUUGACGGGUAGCCGGCCUGAGAGGGUGGUCGGUCACAUUGGGACUGAGAUACGGCCCAGACUCCUGCGGGAGGCAGCAGUGGGGGAUAUUGCACAAUGGGCGAAAGCCUGAUGCAGCGACGCCGCGUGGGUGAUGAAGGCCUUCGGGUUGUAAACUUCUUUUGCUCUGAACAAGGCAUGCCAGUGGGUGUGUUGAGUGUAGGGGUUGAUUAGCGCCGGCUAACUACGUG
rnacentral:rRNA from 1 species